UAGAGUUUGAUCAUGGCUCAGAUUGAACGCUGGCGGCAGGCCUAACACAUGCAAGUCGAGCGGUAACAGAGAUUAGCUUGCUAAUCUGCUGACGAGCGGCGGACGGGUGAGUAAUGCCUAGGAAGUUGCCCGGUAGAGGGGGGUAACCAUUGGAAACGAUGGCUAAUACCGCAUAAUCUCUAAGGAGCAAAGCAGGGGACCUUCGGGCCUUGUGCUACCGGAUACGCCUAGGUGGGAUUAGCUAGUUGGUGAGGUAAUGGCUCACCAAGGCGACGAUCCCUAGCUGGUCUGAGAGGAUGAUCAGCCACACUGGAACUGAGACACGGUCCAGACUCCUACGGGAGGCAGCAGUGGGGAAUAUUGCACAAUGGGCGAAAGCCUGAUGCAGCCAUGCCGCGUGUAUGAAGAAGGCCUUCGGGUUGUAAAGUACUUUCAGUUGUGAGGAAGGGGGUAAGCUUAAUACGCUUACCUCUUGACGUUAGCAACAGAAGAAGCACCGGCUAACUCCGUGCCAGCAGCCGCGGUAAUACGGAGGGUGCGAGCGUUAAUCGGAAUUACUGGGCGUAAAGCGCAUGCAGGUGGUUCAUUAAGUCAGAUGUGAAAGCCCGGGGCUCAACCUCGGAACUGCAUUUGAAACUGGUGAACUAGAGUACUGUAGAGGGGGGUAGAAUUUCA
rnacentral:rRNA from 1 species